rnacentral:lncRNA from 1 species
CCCUGCCCCAGAGACAGCAGGGUCCAGCUUGGCUAGGGGACCUCGUCCGCUUCAGCAGGUCGGUUUCAGUCUCUGAAUUUGUCCACGAGUGGUUUUGAGGGCCAAGCCCCCAGGCCCUGCUGGUCCAGGAGGAGAGACAGCUGCCUGCGAGCGUCCUGGUAGGGUCCAGCCUAGGACAGGACAGGAGAGUGGGGGGGCGCGUGCCUGCUGGGCGUGCGGGACCGAGGGGCUACAAGGGUGGCAAGGCGCUGACCUUGGCUGCCUCGUAGGUCUUCAAGGCCAGGAGGCAGGACUUCCCGAGAGCUCUGGCAGCCUGGCGGAAGGCCCGGAGAAAGGCUGCCUUGCAGAGGCGGGAGGGAGGCCCGAGGGAGGCCCUGGAGUUGGAGAGAGGAGGUGUGAAAAUCCCCGAUGGCAGAAACACUAUCAGGCCCGCGCCACGCCUCUCCUGCCACCUCCUUUCUCGCCCUGGUGAUCUUGGGUUCGCGGGUGUCACAGGGUGGGUAAUGGAAACACCGGCCACAGUCCCAGAGCUAGGACUGGAACCAAGCUGGGGACCAGAUGUACUCUCCCUCCCCGUGGGCAGGGAGACAGGGACCCCUCACCACCAGCCCGCCCAUCGGCCUUUCUUACUCGGCCUUCACACGCCCGGUGGCCACAUCCACAACCUCAACGUCGGUGUCCCCCAGGCUCCAGUUGAGGCUCAGGCCAUUGCAGGCAUUGGAGGUAGGAUCCGAGGGGGCCACAGGGGGCCCUGCAAACAGGUGCAGCGUGGUACGGGCAUAGGGCCCCAAGACCCCGUCUAGGUUGGGCCGGGUGUGGAUGGCCCUGCUCAGAGUUGUGGGGUCGUGGCAGGGGUCGGCUGUGGGGACAGAGGCACGGAACGAGGUCUGAGUCACACACCCCACCCAGAGCCCACCUUCCACCCUCACCACAGCUCCCCACCCCCCGCCCCCUCCCCCACCAGGGGCCUCACCCAGGACAAGGCUGGUGGCAUAGAGGGGAGGCAGGAAGUGGGCGAGCAGGGCGCCACCCAGCCCUAGCACGACCCAGCGUGCCAGCUUGUCGCUGGUGGAGAGGCAGCCCACGUGGGUGUUGCGCAGGGCGGGCGCUACGUAGCACACGGGCCUCAGCUCCCCGCAGAUGUGGGCCUGCAUGCGGGAGGACGGGCUGUGCAGGAGGCUGCCCUCAGCGGAUGGUGGGAGGCUGCAGGGGGGCAGGGGGGACAGGGGGGCAGGGGGAGCGUAGGCCCCGGACGCGAGGGUCAGGGCUGUCCUCCCAGCCCCCCCAUCCUGCCCUCCCCGAUGCAGGCAAACCGAGGGACCCCCCACCCCGGACCCCCCACAUACUAGAUGUCAUGAGCAGCUCCCUUGGGGGUGUUGCUGACGUACAGGUGCAGGAAGAUCCGGGGCUUGAGGGCAAAGGGGGGCCCGGGCCCAGGCUGGGGGGCCAGUACCGACCGUUCCUUGCCCUUGGGGCCACCCUGUGUCGCCAACAGGAGCUGCCGGAACAAGAACCUGGGAGAGGCAGGUGGCGAAGCAGCUGGGGCCGUGGGGCCCCGCGUCCUGCCCCGGGGCUGCCCCCCAGUGCCUGCCCUGCCCGCCCCUCACCUGCGCAGGGCGCGGCGGGCCACCACCAGCCCGUGGCCGUCGUGGAGCUGCCGGCCCGAGAACUGCAGCCGGCGGGCACAGCUGCUGCUGCCUGUACCCAGCGCCACCAGCUGGUAGACCUCCUUGGCGUGGCCCCUGGCGCCGGGGACCUCUGUAAGGCGAGGGGGCGGAGACGUGCCAGCCAAGGCAGGGGGCCCAGGAGGGGGUGGGGGCUACGGGGCAGGCCCUACCUCUCUCCAGGAUGACCGCAGCCACAGUGCCCUUACAGGCCCAGUAUGGGGAGGUCUUGUCCACCAGAUGGUCAAAGCCGGCGCUGACUAUGGCCGCGCAGCGCUGCUCGUGGGUCAGGAUGUUCUCUGCAUGUGGGGGGGAGGGGGGAGGUGGGGGCCCCGCAGGCUGUGCCCCUCUCCUCACCACGGGGGCCGGGUCAACGGGGGCCCACCUACCUACACUCAGAGGAUCGAGUGGAAGCCUGCUGGGGGUCUCUGGGGAC